UCCUCGAGCUUGUAAGUAAGGGCUUCCUUGAAAAGGUUUAUAAAAGGUUUCAGCUGCAAGAUUCCCAUGUGUCUGUGUACGCGAAGCAGAUAUUGCUAGGUUUAAAUUAUCUCCAUAAGCGAAGUAUCGUUCACAGGGACAUCAAAUGUGCAAAUGUAUUGGUGGAUGAAAAUGGAAGCGUGAAAAUUGCGGAUUUUGGAUUGGCAAAAGUAACCGAGUUAAAUGCUCUCAUGCAGUCCAGCAAAGGGACUCCAUAUUGGAUGGCUCCUGAGGUUGUUAACAGGAAGAGAGCAGGAGGGUAUGGGCUUGAAGCUGAUAUAUGGAGCUUUGGGUGCACUGUGUUGGAGAUGUUAACCAAAAAACCUCCAUACUCUGAUUUGGAGCCAAUGCAAGUAAUUUUUCAGAUUGGAAAAGGUCACCCACCUUCUCUUCCUAAUUCUUUGUCAGAUGAUUCGCGGGACUUUAUCCAGCAAUGCCUACAA
rnacentral:misc_RNA from 1 species